GUCAGUUUUUAUCAGAUUUUUAGUAGUGUCAAACACUUUAAAACUCGUUUUAUCCCUUAGAAUUUCAGUACCUCCAUUGUAUUGAAUCAACCCCAACCCUCCAUUUUUCUCAUUUACAUUAGGCGCAUUGAUGUACCUCUUUCCUUUUAAGGAAUAUAUUUUGUAACAUGGUGAAUAUUUUGUGCAGUGGCCACCAUGCAUUGAAAGCCAAAAUGGCUGAGCUUGGAUAUGACUUUGAUGGAAAAGAACUUGAUGACCUCUUUCGUCGAUUCAAGUCACUGGCUGAGAGGAAAAAGAAAAUUACAGAUGAUGACUUGAGAGCACUUGUAUCAGAUGACGUUUUCCAGCCUCAAGUUUCCUGGCAACUUGGAGAUGUACAGAUUACUUGUGGAAAUGUUGGCCGCUCUACAGCAAAUGUUAAGCUUAUUGACAGCGAUGGUCAAGAGCACACUGCCUUUUCUGUUGGAACAGGACCUGUUGAUGCAGCUUACAAGGCAGUUGACCUCAUUGUAAAGGUUUAUAAUGAAACUGAAAACUCUCAUAAUGUUUGUAUCUUGUCACACUAGUAGGAUAGGUAAUUUAAGUUUUAUAUACGCUGAAGGUAUAAAAAUAUUUACUCAAUCAGAGCGCUUACAAGACAAUUGCAGUGGAACAGGAGCGCAUAUGGACAUUGUCGUUUCAAGUGUCCAAGCCUAUGUUGAGGCGUUGAACAAAAUAUUCAGUUACAAAAAAACAGGUCUCGUGAACAAAUUUGAAGGCAGUGCGCAAUCGUAAAAGUGAUGGUGUGUGCUCCAGAAACAAAAGCUUAAAUGCUGCUUAGUGCUCGAUGAUCAUAAAUUUAUGCUCUAUUCAUGCAUGCAUUACUGAAGUUAAUUAAGAAGUAAUCUUAAUUGUAUAAGAUGUAAACAUGUUUCUAUUCAUGCAUUACUAUGAAAUUAAUUACAAUUUCUGAGCCAAUUUUUUUAUUUGG